rnacentral:rRNA from 1 species
UACAGAGACUGCAAGCGUUAUUCGGAUUCACUGGGCGUAAAGGGUGCGCAGGUGGUCGUGUGUGUCAGAUGUGAAAUCCCGGGGCUUAACUCCGGAACUGCGUCUGAAACUGCACGACUAGAGCAUUGGAGAGGGUAGUGGAAUUCACGGUGUAGCAGUGAAAUGCGUAGAUAUCGUGAGGAACACCAGUGGCGAAGGCGGUUGCCUGGAGCUUUGCUGACGCUGAUGCGCGAAAGCGUGGGGAGCAAACAGG